rnacentral:misc_RNA from 1 species
GAACUGCGAUAAGUAAUGUGAAUUGCAGAAUUCAGUGAAUCAUCGAGUCUUUGAACGCACAUUGCGCCCCCUGGCAUUCAGGGGGGCAUGCCUGUCCGAGCGUCAUUGCUGCCCUUCAAGCCCGGCUUGUGUGUUGGGUCGUCGUCCCCUCCGGGGGACGGGCCCGAAAGGCAGCGGCGGCACCGCGUCCGGUCCUCGAGCGUAUGGGGCUUUGUCACCCGCUCGAUAAGGACCGGCCGGGCGCCAGCCGGCGUCUCCAACCUUUUUUUCUCAGGUUGACCUCGGAUCAGGUAGGGAUACCCGCUGAACUUAAGC